AACGAACGCUGGCGGCAUGCCUAACACAUGCAAGUCGAACGAGACCUUCGGGUCUAGUUGCUCACGGGUGAUUAACGCGUGGUAACCUGCCCUUAGGUUCGGAAUAACUCCCCGAAAGGGGUGCUAAUACCGGAUAAUGUCUUCGGACCAAAGAUUUAUCGCCUUUGGAUGGGCCCGCGUUGGAUUAGCUAGUUGGUAGGGUAAAAGCCUACCAAGGCGACGAUCCAUAGCUGGUCUGAGAGGAUGAUCAGCCACACUGGGACUGAGACACGGCCCAGACUCCUACGGGAGGAAGCAGUGGGGAAUAUUGGACAAUGGGCGAAAGCCUGAUCCAGCAAUGCCGCGUGAGUGAUGAAGGCCUUAGGGUUGUAAAGCUCUGUUAACCGGGAUGAUAAUGACAGUACCGGGAGAAUAAGCGCCGGCUAACUCCGUG
rnacentral:rRNA from 1 species